UAUGUUAGUUGGCUGGAUUCAGAAAUACUGAAUUUAAUAGAUUUAAAUAUUCAGCAGAUUGCAGGUAAUCAAUCAUUUCUAAGAUUUUUUUUUUCAAUGUAUGCUAAAUAAGCGGUUUUUUAUACUUCAGGCCCCAUAUUAGUGUAAUAAACUGGACCAACCUCAAGUUUGAUUUUUAAAUAGGGACUUUUAAAAAAGAUAUGGGAUUGGUCAGGGUUCAAUCAGAGAAGCAGAAUCAGUAGGAGAUAUAUAUUAAGAGAUUUAUUGCAGUGAAUUGGCUUACACGACUGUGGGGCCGGCUGGGCAAGUUGGAAAUUAGUAGGUUAGGCCAUCAAGAAGAACAGGCUGGAAUUCUCAGGCACAGGUUGAAGGUGCUGUCCACAGGCCCAAUUUGUUUCCUUUUCAAUGAUUGAGUCAGGUUCACCCUUAACAGAGUGUAAUCCUAUCUACAGAAUACCUUUACAGCAAUCCCUGGAUUAGUGCUCAGUUGAAUGAGUGGGGGCUGAAUGACGGGACUGCAGCCUAGCCAGGCUGAUACAUGAAAAAGAUCAUCACAGAUGUCUAAACCGUGGACCAAGCCUUAAGAAAUAUGUCAAUAUAAGAUUAGCUCAGAAAAAAUACGUCAUGAGCCAGAGAAGACAGGUACAGAGUUGAAGAACAAGGAACAGAGGAGACAACAGCCAUUUCAAAAAGAAGAUGAGAAUAAAGGAGAGCAAUAUAUAUCAUAUAUACAAUAAUGAAGAACAAUAAUAUUGGCUAUGGUUUUUCUCGGGAUUCAGAACUUCUGAGAAAAAUACUCUGAUAUCCCUAAAGUUUUGAAAUGCAAUUAUAGGUAAAGAAGCUGCAGAAAUCAAAUGGGUUCUUUUUGGGUUAUCUAAACAUGAAAUUUUGGAGUCUAAUACAUCCUUUGGGAUUAAAAGAGUCAUUAAGAAACCAUUUAUCUACAAAAGUAUCAGGAAGAAAGCACUGAAUCCAGAUGGUUAUCAAGUUAUAUUUUGGGAAAUAUUCAGUGAUAAAGUAUAUCCAAUUUUAAGCAAUUGCAGGGGCGCCUGGGUGGCGCAGUCGGUUAAGCGUCCGACUUCAGCCAGGUCACGAUCUCGCGGUCCGUG